rnacentral:rRNA from 1 species
UAUGUAGGGGGCAAGCGUUGUCCGGAUUUAUUGGGCGUAAAGAGCGUGUAGGCGGCUUUGCAAGUCCGUUGUGAAAACUCGAGGCUCAACCUCGAGACGCCGGUGGAAACUGCAAAGCUAGAGUCCGGAAGAGGAGAGUGGAAUUCCUGGUGUAGCGGUGAAAUGCGCAGAUAUCAGGAAGAACACCCGUGGCGAAGGCGGCUCUCUGGGACGGUACUGACGCUGAGACGCGAAAGCGUGGGGAGCGAACAGG